GGCUUGGUGGCCUAAUGGUAAGGCGUUGCUUUCCGGUGGCAAAGAUUGCGGGUUCGAGUCCCGUCCGAGUCG
rnacentral:tRNA from 1 species